UUUUUGAGGCUAUUCUCCUAAAAUCGCAAAAAAUAAAUUCAUUUGAGAUUCAAUUAAAACGGGGCCUGUGGCCAGUUGGCGAUGGAGUUGUUUUCUGCCUGGAAUGUAGACCAUUUCUGACCACUGAAAGGGAGUUUUAAUCGGGGAAUCCGCUUUGGACACCCAAGGUUACCCGGUCUCGUCUCCAUCGCAUUCAUCAUCCCUCCCCUGUGGUAACUUCGGAUUCGACCUACUUUUACGCAUCGAACAAAGUAAUCUAUUUGGAUAUGGCUGAACUUAGGUAGAUCGAAACUAAAGCCCUGCAUGAACGGGCAACAACGGGACUUGCGCAUCCACUAUACUUAUUUCCGUGUGUGCAAUAAUGUUGUAAAUGCAUACAAUAUACAUAAAAACUAUUCCUUCCUAUAGCUAUGAUUUUAUGAAUACUGUGGAUUCAUGCAGGGCUCUAAUCACAUCCCCAUGACCACCGGCUCAAAUAAAAUGAACAUAUUUAUAGUACUACCUGCUACUCAGUUUCUACAUAUCCUCCCUAUGAAUGAAAUAAACUUGUGAAUCAAAUUGUGAAUGACUGAAGAUGUCUCAGUGACUAUACGAUCAUUAUCUUGCCUAGCAGUAAAUAAUAAUAAAUGUGACUAUAUUUAAACAA
rnacentral:sRNA from 1 species